AUUUGACUGUUAUGUAAAGUCUGUCUCUGAAAACUUCCUGUAGCGAUUCUUGUAGUACAAGUCUGCAGGUAACAAUACUUCUACAAAAAUUGCAUUUGAUGGCUGUAACUCACUGGAGUUCAAUAAAGG